UCAAAAUGACUUUGAAAUCCCCUGUUCUGUCUUUAGAAAAUCAUUGUAAAUUGUACAAUGAUGAUUAUAAGAUAAAAUUUAUAUUCUUAGAUUCCUUAAUGAGUCUAGUUUCAAAUGAAGUAAACGAUAACAUAUUUUGAAUUCUGUGUAAUGAGAAAAUUGAUUUGUAGUGAAGAGUGGUCAGAAUAGUCAAACAGUGAAACAGGGGAAACUUCAAUAAAAAUCUGGUAUUGAUUGGUCAAACCAAAAAUUCUGAAAAUUUUAUGGAUGGAA
rnacentral:lncRNA from 1 species